rnacentral:rRNA from 1 species
AGAAUCAACGCUGGCGGCGUGCCUAACACAUGCAAGUCGAACGCGAAAGGGGAGCAAUCCCUGAGUAGAGUGGCAAACGGGUGAGUAACACGUGGGUGACCUGCCUUCGAGUGGGGGAUAACGUCCCGAAAGGGACGCUAAUACCGCAUGACAUCCUGUCUUUGGACAGACGGAGAUCAAAGCUGGGGAUCGCAAGACCUGGCGCUCGAAGAGGGGCCCGCGCCUGAUUAGCUAGUUGGUGAGGUAACGGCUCACCAAGGCUACGAUC